UGUUGAAGUCAGCUGUGCUAGAUGGU
rnacentral:sRNA from 1 species